rnacentral:rRNA from 1 species
UAGGGAAUCUUCCGCAAUGGACGCAAGUCUGACGGAGCAACGCCGCGUGAGUGAAGAAGGAUUUCGGUUCGUAAAACUCUGUUGUUAGAGAAGAACAGCGCAUAGAGUAACUGUUAUGCGUGUGACGGUAUCUAACCAGAAAGCCACGGCUAACUACGUGCCAGCAGCCGCGGUAAUACGUAGGUGGCAAGCGUUGUCCGGAUUUAUUGGGCGUAAAGCGAGCGCAGGCGGUCAAUUAAGUCUGAUGUGAAAGCCCCCGGCUCAACCGGGGAGGGUCAUUGGAGACUGGUUGACUUGAGUGCAGAAGAGGAGGGUGGAAUUCCAUGUGUAGCGGUGAAAUGCGUAGAUAUAUGGAGGAACACCAGUGGCGAAGGCGACUCUCUGGUCUGUAACUGACGCGGAGGCUCGAAAGCGUGGGUAGCAAACAGG